rnacentral:rRNA from 1 species
UACGUAGGGUGCGAGCGUUGUCCGGAAUUACUGGGCGUAAAGCGUGCGUAGGCGGUGCCUCAAGUUUGGUGUGAAAUCUCCCGGCUCAACCGGGAGGGUGCGCCGAAAACUGAGGUGCUCGAGUGUGGGAGAGGUAAGCGGAAUUCCUGGUGUAGCGGUGAAAUGCGUAGAUAUCAGGAGGAACACCGGCGGUGUAGACGGCUUACUGGACCAUAACUGACGCUGAGGCACGAAAGUGUGGGGAGCAAACAGG